rnacentral:rRNA from 1 species
GAUGAACGCUGGCGGCGUGCCUAAUACAUGCAAGUCGAGCGAAUGGAUUAAGAGCUUGCUCUUAUGAAGUUAGCGGCGGACGGGUGAGUAACACGUGGGUAACCUGCCCAUAAGACUGGGAUAACUCCGGGAAACCGGGGCUAAUACCGGAUAAUAUUUUGAACUGCAUGGUUCAAAAUUGAAAGGCGGCUUCGGCUGUCACUUAUGGAUGGACCCGCGUCGCAUUAGCUAGUUGGUGAGGUAACGGCUCACCAAGGCAACGAUGCGUAGCCGGCCUGAGAGGGUGAUCGGCCACCAUGGGACUGAGACACGGCCCAGACUCCUCCGGGAGGCAGCAGUAGGGAAUCUUCCGCAAUGGACGAAAGUCUGACGGAGCAACGCCGCGUGAGUGAUGAAGGCUUUCGGGUCGUAAAACUCUGUUGUUAGGGAAGAACAAGUGCUAGUUGAAUAAGCUGGCACCUUGACGGUACCUAACCAGAAAGCCACGGCUAACUACGUGCCAGCCGCCGCGGUAA